rnacentral:misc_RNA from 1 species
GUAUUGUAUUGCGUUAAACGCAUGAUGCAUUCCGUGAAACUUUAUUACAGUGUGUGUGUGUAAAGACGUAGAGCCACGGCAAAAGGGACGUAGCCCCCCAGGCCAUAGAACUACAGUGGGUGCACAGGUGUGAGUGGAUGUGUAAACAGAGCGUGCACGUGCCCCCAGUUGAGGACCAGCAACAACCCAUGUUGACAAUUCGGUAAUGAUCCUUCCGCAGGUUCACCUACGGAAA